rnacentral:tRNA from 1 species
UCCCUAGUGGUCUAGUGGGUAAGGAUCCAGCACUCUCAUUGCUGUGGCCCAGGUUUAAUUCCCAGCCAGGGAA